rnacentral:rRNA from 1 species
GACGAACGCUGGCGGCGUGCUUAACACAUGCAAGUCGAACGGAAAGGCCCUGCUUUUGUGGGGUGCUCGAGUGGCGAACGGGUGAGUAACACGUGAGUAACCUGCCCUUGACUUUGGGAUAACUUCAGGAAACUGGGGCUAAUACCGGAUAGGAGCUCCUGCUGCAUGGUGGGGGUUGGAAAGUUUCGGCGGUUGGGGAUGGACUCGCGGCUUAUCAGCUUGUUGGUGGGGUAGUGGCUUACCAAGGCUUUGACGGGUAGCCGGCCUGAGAGGGUGACCGGCCACAUGGGGACUGAGAUACGGCCCAGACUCCUACGGGAGGCAGCAGUGGGGAAUAUUGCACAAUGGGCGGAAGCCUGAUGCAGCAACGCCGCGUGCGGGAUGACGGCCUUCGGGUUGUAAACCGCUUUCGCCUGUGACGAAGCGUGAGUGACGGUAAUGGGUAAAGAAGCACCAGCUAACUACGUG